UUUAUCACUCUGCGAUCUUAUACGUUAAUGGCAGUAAAAGGUUAACUUGGAUAUCAUAGAUAAGAUCGAUAAAUUAUUUAUCGCGUAUGGACAAUUAAUUGAUCUUUUUGUGCGUCUUCAUUUUCCGUUGUUGCUAAUGAAGACGAAUCGAUUGGCCGUCGAUUGGCGAGAAAUUUUAGUCAGUCGCUUUCUAUGAAUGCAAAAAUUUGGACGACUAUAAACAGCUAGUAACCGUAGCAGCAGUAAUCACAUUCUGUUUGCGUUUAUUGCCUCGUCUCGUUGAACAGACUAUAGCCUUAGCCGACUAUUCGACUCGACCAGCUCUACCGUAGUCGACCGAUGUAGUUGGCCUGUUUAUAGCCGCUCUUAUAGAUGAUCGAAUUCGCUGGUGUUGUAUGCAAUUACAUAUGUAUACAUACAUGUAUGUAUAUGUACAUAUUAUACGAAUAUCAAAAUAUACAUGAUAAAACUUA